rnacentral:rRNA from 1 species
AUGGACGACGUCGAGAGCCAGGCACCCCAUGGAGAUCAGGAGAUCGAGGCCGCUAGAGAUUUCCCGUGUUGGCUCAUCAUGGUGGUCGCGGUGCUCGUCGGUGCCUUCAUCGCCGCACCCGUUUCCAUCCCCUUCUGCAUGAUCCACGCCCAUUACACCGUCGCCGUAGAUUCUGUCUCCGGCACUGACCCGACGGUAGGCCUCUCGUUCAACCUCACCCUCGGCGUCGCCUCCCAAAGUUACGGGUCAGAGGCGUGCAUUAUGCCCGGCACAUACAUGGAGGUGACCUACCGUGGCGUUCAGAUCGCCGCCAGCGCGCCCGAAAGACGGCGGAUAUGCGCUAAGCCACGAAAGGCAGUGGAGCAGCAUGUCCUCGCAAUGGCCACCACAGUUCCCUUAGGGAACGUGUUGGACAGUCUCGCGGCGGACUUGAAGAGAGGGGUGGCGGUGUUUGAUGUCACAUUGCACCUACCAGCAGGGUCAUAUGACUUGAGGAAUGCAUGGUUAUCAGGCUGCAACGGUAUGCUGGUUGGUCAGGGCGCUGUGGCGUGUAAACCUCUCUUCUAA